GACGAACGCUGGCGGCGUGCCUAAUACAUGCAAGUAGAACGCUGAAGGAAGGAGCUUGCUCUUUCUGGAUGAGUUGCGAACGGGUGAGUAACGCGUAGGUAACCUGCCUGGUAGCGGGGGAUAACUAUUGGAAACGAUAGCUAAUACCGCAUAAAAUUGAUUAUUGCAUGAUAGUCAAUUAAAAGGUGCAACUGCACCACUACCAGAUGGACCUGCGUUGUAUUAGCUAGUUGGUGGGGUAACGGCUCACCAAGGCGACGAUACAUAGCCGACCUGAGAGGGUGAGCGGCCACACUGGGACUGAGACACGGCCCAGACGCCUACGGGAGGGAGCAGUAGGGAAUCGGCGGCAAUGGACGGAAGUCUGACCGAGCAACGCCGCGUGAGUGAAGAAGGUUUUCGGAUCGUAAAGCUCGGUUGUAAGAGAAGAACGAGUGUUAGAGUGGAAAGUUCACACUGUGACGGUAUCUUACCAGAAAGGGACGGCUAACUACGUG
rnacentral:rRNA from 1 species